UGCCUAAAAGAAGGGGAUAACACUUGGAAACAGGUGCUAAUACCGUAUAUCUCUAAGGAUCGCAUGAUUCUUAGAUGAAAGAUGGUUCUGCUAUCGCUUUUAGAUGGACCCGCGGCGUAUUAACUAGUUGGUGGGGUAACGGCCUACCAAGGUGAUGAUACGUAGCCGAACUGAGAGGUUGAUCGGCCACAUUGGGACUGAGACACGGCCCAAACUCCUACGGGAGGCAGCAGUAGGGAAUCCUCCACAAUGGACGCAAGUCUGAUGGAGCAACGCCGCGUGAGUGAAGAAGGUCUUCGGAUCGUAAAACUCUGUUGUUAGAGAAGAACACGAGUGUAGAGUAACUGUUCAUUCGAUGACGGUAUCUAACCAGCAAGUCACGGCUAACUACGUGCCAGCAGCCGCGGUAAUACGUAGGUGGCAAGCGUUGUCCGGAUUUUAUUGGGCCGUAAAGGGAACGCAGGCGGGUCUUUUAAGUCUGAUGUGAAAGCCUUCGGCUUAACCGGAGUAGUG
rnacentral:rRNA from 1 species